GAUGAACGCUGGCGGCGUGCCUAAUACAUGCAAGUCGAGCGAAUGGGUUAAGAGCUUGCUCUUAUGAAGUUAGCGGCGGACGGGUGAGUAACACGUGGGUAACCUGCCCAUAAGACUGGGAUAACUCCGGGAAACCGGGGCUAAUACCGGAUAACAUUUUGAACCGCAUGGUUCGAAAUUGAAAGGCGGCUUCGGCUGUCACUUAUGGAUGGACCCGCGUCGCAUUAGCUAGUUGGUGAGGUAACGGCUCACCAAGGCAACGAUGCGUAGCCGGCCUGCGAGGGUGAUCGGCCACACUGGGACUGAGACACGGCCCAGACUCCUCCGGGAGGCAGCAGUAGGGAAUCUUCCGCAAUGGACGAAAGUCUGACGGAGCAACGCCGCGUGAGUGAUGAAGGCUUUCGGGUCGUAAAACUCUGUUGUUAGGGAAGAACAAGUGCUAGUUGAAUAAGCUGGCACCUUGACGGUACCUAACCAGAAAGCCACGGCUAACUACGUGCCAGCCGCCGCGGUAA
rnacentral:rRNA from 1 species